rnacentral:rRNA from 1 species
GAUGAACGCUGGCGGCGUGCCUAAUACAUGCAAGUCGAGCGAACGGGCGAGAAGCUUGCUUCUCUGAUGUUAGCGGCGAACGGGUGAGUAACACGUGGAUAACCUACCUAUAAGACUGGGAUAACUUCGGGAAACCGGAGCUAAUACCGGAUAAUAUUUUGAACCGCAUUGUUCAAAAGUGAAAGACGGUCUUGCUGUCACUUAUAGAUGGAUCCGCGCUGCAUUAGCUAGUUGGUAAGGUAACGGCUUACCAAGGCAACGAUGCAUAGCCGACCUGAGAGGGGGGGCGGCCAGACUGGAACUGAGACAAGGUACAGACCCCUACGGGAGGCAGCAGUAGAGAAGCUUACGCAAUGGGCGAAAGCCUGACGGAGCAACGCCGCGUGAGGGAUGAAGGGCUUCGGAUCGUAAUACUCUGUUAUUAGGGAAGAACAUAUGUGUAAGUAACUGUGCACAUCUUGACGGUACCUAAUCAGAAAGCCCCGGCUAACUACGUG